rnacentral:rRNA from 1 species
GACGAACGCUGGCGGCGUGCUUAACACAUGCAAGUCGAGCGGUAAGGCUCCUUCGGGAGUACACGAGCGGCGAACGGGUGAGUAACACGUGAGCAAUCUGCCCUUCACUUUGGGAUAACCACCGGAAACGGUGGCUAAUACCGAAUACGACCACUUCAGGCAUCUGAUGGUGGUGGAAAGUUCCGGCGGUGAAGGAUGAGCUCGCGGCCUAUCAGCUUGUUGGUGAGGUAAUGGCUCACCAAGGCUUCGACGGGUAGCCGGCCUGAGAGGGUGGCCGGGCACACUGGGACUGGGACGCGGCCCAGACUCCUACGGGAGGCAGCAGUGGGGAAUAUUGGACAAUGGGCGAAAGCCUGAUCCAGCAACGCCGCGUGAGGGAUGACGGCCUUCGGGUUGUAAACCGCUUUCAGGAGGGACGAAGCCACUCGGGUGAAUAGCCCAGAGGGUGACGGUACCUCCAGAAGAAGCCCCGGCUAGCUACGU